rnacentral:rRNA from 1 species
UACGUAGGGUGCAGGCGUUAAUCGGAAUUACUGGGCGUAAAGCGUGCGCAGGCGGCUCCUCAAGUCAGAUGUGAAAUCCCCGGGCUUAACCUGGGAACUGCGUUUGAAACUGAGGGGCUUGAGUGUGGAAGAGGGGGGUGGAAUUCCAGGUGUAGCGGUGAAAUGCGUAGAUAUCAGGAGGAACACCGGUGGCGAAGGCGGGUCUCUGGGCCGAUACUGACGCUGAGGAGCGAAAGCGUGGGGAGCGAACAGG